AUCAGAGUCUAACAUACAGUCGAGCGGUAACAGAGAGAAGCUUGCUUCUUUGCUGACGAGCGGCGGACGGGUGAGUAACGCGUAGGAAUUUAUCGAUUAGUGGGGGAUAGCCCAGGGAAACUUGGAUUAAUACCGCAUACGCCCUACGGGGGAAAGCGGGGGAUCUUCGGACCUCGCGCUAAUCGAUGAGCCUGCGUAAGAUUAGCUAGUUGGUGAGGUAAGAGCUCACCAAGGCGACGAUCUCUAGCUGUUCUGAGAGGAAGAUCAGCCACACUGGAACUGAGACACGGUCCAGACUCCUACGGGAGGCAGCAGUGGGGAAUAUUGCACAAUGGGGGAAACCCUGAUGCAGCCAUGCCGCGUGUGUGAAGAAGGCCUUCGGGUUGUAAAGCACUUUCAGUUGUGAGGAAAGUUUAGUAGUUAAUACCUGCUAGAUGUGACGUUAGCAACAGAAGAAGCACCGGCUAACUCCGUGCCAGCAGCCGCGGUAAUACGGAGGGUGCGAGCGUUAAUCGGAAUUACUGGGCGUAAAGCGCACGCAGGCGGUCUGUUAAGCUAGAUGUGAAAGCCCCGCGCUCAACGUGGGAGGGUCAUUUAGAACUGGCAGACUAGAGUCUUGGAGAGGGGAGUGGAAUUCCAGGUGUAGCGGUGAAAUGCGUAGAGAUCUGGAGGAACAUCAAUGGCGAAGGCAACUCCCUGGCCAAAGACUGACGCUCAUGUGCGAAAGUGUGGGUAGCGAACAGGAUUAGAUACCCUGGUAGUCCACACCGUAAACGCUGUCUACUAGCUGUUUGUGAAUUU
rnacentral:rRNA from 1 species